AGUAAAUUUGUCAUUGAAAGGACCACUGGCUGGGCCAGCUAGAUGUCUCCAUGGGUAAAGGCACUUGUGACCAAGCCUGAUAACUUCAGUUUGGCCCCCAGGACCCACAUGGUGGAAGGAGGCAACAGACAUCUGCAAGUUGACUUCUGGGCUCUCUAUGUGCAUGUGUGCACACAGACACAGAGUAAAUAUGUAAAAUGUGAUGCUGGGGACUGCCAGAAACUGGGAGGCGGAGCUUCCCGGGUUGGAGGAUGUGGUGUGCCUUUGAAGGCUUCCCUGGUCGAAGGAUGAGUGUGUCUUUGAAGCAUGUCUCCAUCUUAUGUCAGGCCCAGAGCCAUGCAGCCAGUCAACCAUGAACUGAAACCUUGGAAACCGUGAGCUCAGACAUUCGAAAAUAGAUUUCUCAACCAGAAGACAGCAGCGCGGGCCCUGCUGGGAGACUCCAGCUCUUCCGUUGAGUGAGACAGAGAGAAGCCAGCAACAUGCACCAUGCUCCCCAAAGCUCUCAGGAUUUCUGCACAGAGCCAAGUCCCACCCAUCCCAUACUGGCACCCCAUGAUCGUGUGAGGUGACAAGCCGAGACUCCACUUAGAAGAACAAAGCCAGAUCAGAUGGUGUAGACUAACACCUAGGAUCCAGAACGACAAUGGAUCAGCGUAUCUAGUAAGUACUUCAUAAGUGUUUAACUGAGUAUGCAGGAGUCAAAGCAAUGACACCCAAAAAAAAGUAGUA